rnacentral:piRNA from 3 species
CUGUAGUCCCAGCUACUCGGGAGG